UGUCAUGUCCUACGAAGUGCACUACAUAGGGAAAGGGAAGUGAUUUGGGACGAAGCCUCACAGAGUAAACAUGAGUGCUGCUUUCUGUAAGAGGGAAAAACAACGAAGUUUCAUUUAGACUUGAAAAAAGAUUAAACUUAAAAUGAGAGUUUUUAAAUGUCAGUGAAAGUGAGUUUGAGCUUCUGAACUGUUUUGAAACUGUUCAUGUACAAGCGGCUCCACAGGUGAGGGUCACUUCAGCCUGGUAAACGUGGUGUUAGGGACAGGAAAAUAACUUUGUGGAGAACACAAUGUGCUAAAAGUUUAAAGGUCAUGGAUGAGUUGGAUGGAUGAUUCUUUAAUCUGGCAAUCACAGGUACACCACAGAACUGAUGGAAAGCAUUCUGUUUAAAAGUUCAGUUCUUUGGAGUCAUGAAAAAUGUAAUGAGGCCACCAGUGACUCUGGAUGAAGUGCAACAGUCCAUUGAGAUUUUGAACGGCCUUCCAGCAUUCUUCCCAUCCGGAGUUUCACCACCAAAGAAACUGGGACAGCCAAGUGAACCUCUGUUUCAUAUUCUCAUGCCCUCUGAAAACGCUGCUGCUUUUCUUAGCAGAUGCCGUCUAUCAACCCCCCUGCUUCUAAUUGACCAGGAUAACUGCAUGAUCAGUGUUGGGAAGAACCCAGUGACAACAUUCCCCGAAGGCCUGCUGCACGAAGGUGUUUUGUAUGUCAUGGCGUAUAUGCGCUGCAAGUCAGGUCCAGGUCCCUUUUUAUUAUUAAUUUUUUUAUGUUUAAAGAUGGUAUAUGAAGACCAAGCAAUGUUGUUAAUGUUGUAGACGUAGGGACAUUGUUAUUGGAAAGCCUUGACAUCUAAGAUUGACAUGUUUUAAUAGAAUUCUCAGAAGCGGCCUGAACAUGCUUGUUGUGUAUUUGGAUAAAGCUGCCUUGUUUGCACACUUCUAAUGUAUUCAUAUCAAGCUGCCAUGAUGGCACACUUGUUAAAGUUAAUAAAAUUGAUAGCAAAAUUCAGAUUUUCUGUUGUAUUUUCGAUAAACGAACUUGGUGUAUGUUUUAAUUUGAGUAUAAAGUACAUUCCUCUCAGAUUGCUAGCAAUGCAGUCUUACCAAUAGACUUAUAUGAGAGAAAUAGACUAGUAUUGAGUCUAUAUUUUUUGUGCAUGGAAACUGAAUUUUGAAUGCUUAUGUUAUAAUUAAAAUGCUCUAAUUUUCAUA